AGGAGUUUGCAAGCACCAGCAGAUGCAAGGGGUGGAUAAAGAAGAAGGUGACCAUGCUAUUAACUUGGAUGAACUCUUCAAAAGAGUGACGGGCAGUGCUGUAGCAGAAGGCAAAUGGUCUCUGAGUCUCAAGGCCAAGGGAAUAUACUUUUUUUGAGCAUGUGUAUUUGAGAAGGAGGCAGAAAGUGCCUCUACAAAAGGAGCCACACCUGAUCACAAUGAGCAGACUUCUCUUUGCUACGUGUGGAUGGUGGCUGAGCGAGCCAUUGACCGGAGAAGACCCUGCUUGUACUAGCACCAUCAACCAGUCCAGCAUCCCAAGAGGAUAAAGCCCUGGAGAUGGGAGACUGCAAAUUGUGGAGGAGAAAGGAGAAAAGGAAAAAAAAAACAAGGACGGGAAGAUGAGGAGGAAGGAAGAAAAAGCUGAAAUUUAAUCAAUGUUAAAAACCAAGAGGGAGCUGUAUAGCAAGCUGUAUUUGCGGCUAUUAUGUCAUUUUAGCACCCAAUCUGGGCGAUUUGUUUCCUGAUAAGUCUUUGAAGAGCUUGGACUUGACCGUGUCGCAUCUUUGGGAAGCUAAGGGAUGAUUCCUGAGUUUAGCAAAGA